UGGAUGUGUACUUGCAGGUGCAUUUUGGGAGAAGCUAAAGUUGGUUGCUGAGAGAAAGGUGGGUGAAGCAGAAGCAGAGAGAUUUUGCAAGGCAUUU